rnacentral:lncRNA from 1 species
AGAUUUUAAUAUCAACAAUCGAUUGUACAAAAUCAACAAUGGAUUACCUGACGGUAUUUAAAACUUUACGACAACGGUCAGCUUCACAAUCGAUUUUGUAAUGUUAACAAUCGAUUAUUUAUCAGACUUUGAAAAUCAUUUUAGACAUUGCCUCGAGACAAUCGAUUGUUAUGUACUCACAAUCGAUUAUUUAAUAACUUUGAAAAAGUCUGAAAGUCACUGCCUCAACACAAUCGAUUGUCAUAAGUUCACAAUCGAUUAUUUUGUGACUUUGAAAAAUCUGAAGGACACUGUCUC